ACUCCCUAGUGACCGAUAGUGAACCAGUACCGUGAGGGAAAGGUGAAAAGCACCCCGGAAGGGGAGUGAAAUAGAUCCUGAAACCGUGUGCCUACAAGUAGUUAGAGCCCAUUAAUGGGUGAUAGCGUGCCUUUUGUAGAAUGAACCGGCGAGUUACGAUUACAUGCGAGGUUAAGUUGAAGAGACGGAGCCGCAGCGAAAGCGAGUCUGAAUAGGGCGUAAUAGUAUGUGGUCGUAGACCCGAAACCAGGUGAUCUACCCAUGUCCAGGGUGAAGUCCAGGUAACACUGGAUGGAGGCCCGAACCCACGCACGUUGAAAAGUGCGGGGAUGAGGUGUGGGUAGCGGAGAAAUUCCAAUCGAACUUGGAGAUAGCUGGUUCUCUCCGAAAUAGCUUUAGGGCUAGCCUCAAGGUAAGAGUAUUGGAGGUAGAGCACUGUUUGGACUAGGGGCCCCCAUCGGGUUACCGAAUUCAGACAAACUCCGAAUGCCAAAUACUUAUCCUUGGGAGUCAGACUGCGAGUGAUAAGAUCCGUAGUCAAGAGGGAAACAGCC
rnacentral:rRNA from 1 species